rnacentral:rRNA from 1 species
AUUGAACGCUAGCGGGAUGCCUUACACUUGCAAGUAGAACGGAGUGGCGACCGGGUGAGUAAUGUAUCGGAACGUGCCCAGUAGCGGGGGAUAACUACUCGAAAGCGUAGCUAAUACCGCAUAGAAUCGGAGCGGCCGAUAUCGGAUUUGCUAGGAGGUGGGGUAACGGCUCACCUAGGCGACGAUCCCUAGCUGGUCUGAGAGGAGUACCAGCAACACUGGAACUGAGACACGGUCCAGACUCCUACGGGAGGCAGCAGUGGGGAAUAUUGCACAAUGGGCGCAAGCCUGAUGCAGACAUGCCGCGUGUUUGAAGAAGGCCUUCGGGUUGUAAAGCACUUUCAGCGGGGAGGCGUUACCCGCAGAAGAAGCACCGGCUAACUCCGUGCCAGCAGCCGCGGUAAUAC